AUUGAACGCUGGCGGCAGGCCUAACACAUGCAAGUCGAACGGUAACAGGAAGAAGCUUGCUUCUUUGCUGACGAGUGGCGGACGGGUGAGUAAUGUCUGGGAAACUGCCUGAUGGAGGGGGAUAACUACUGGAAACGGUAGCUAAUACCGCAUAACGUCGCAAGACCAAAGAGGGGGACCUUCGGGCCUCUUGCCAUCGGAUGUGCCCAGAUGGGAUUAGCUAGUAGGUGGGGUAACGGCUCACCUAGGCGACGAUCCCUAGCUGGUCUGAGAGGAUGACCAGCCACACUGGAGCUGAGACACGGUCCAGACUCCUACGGGAGGCAGCAGUGGGGAAUAUUGCACAAUGGGCGCAAGCCUGAUGCAGCCAUGCCGCGUGUAUGAAGAAGGCCUUCGGGUUGUAAAGUACUUUCAGCGGGGAGGAAGGGAGUAAAGUUAAUACCUUUGCUCAUUGACGUUACCCGCAGAAGAAGCACCGGCUAACUCCGUG
rnacentral:rRNA from 1 species